rnacentral:rRNA from 1 species
UACGGAGGGUGCAAGCGUUAUCCGGAUUUACUGGGUUUAAAGGGUGCGUAGGUGGGCAAUUAAGUCAGCGGUGAAAUCUCCGGGCUUAACCCGGAAAUUGCCAUUGAUACUAUUUGUCUUGAAUUAUCUGGAGGUGAGCGGAAUAUGUCAUGUAGCGGUGAAAUGCUUAGAUAUGACAUAGAACACCGAUUGCGAAGGCAGCUUGCUACACGAUCAUUGACACUGAGGCACGAAAGCGUGGGGAUCAAACAGG